AGCGAGAGUGACGGUACCUGCCGAAGAAGCACCGGCCAACUACGUGCCAGCAGCCGCGGUAAUACGUAGGGUGCAAGCGUUGUCCGGAAUUAUUGGGCGUAAAGAGCUCGUAGGCGCUUUGUUGCGUCGGCUGUGAAAUCCUGAGGCUCAACAUCAGGCGGGCAGUCGAUACGAGCAGACUAGAGUGUUGCAGGGGAGACUGGAAUUCCUGGUGUAGCGGUGAAAUGCGCAGAUAUCAGGAGGAACACCGGUGGCGAAGGCGGGUCUCUGGGCAACAACUGACGCUGAGGAGCGAAAGCGUGGGGAGCGAACAGGAUUAGAUACCCUGGUAGUCCACGCCGUAAACGUUGGGCGCUAGGUGUGGGGCUCAUUCCACGAGUUCCGUGCCGCAGCUAACGCAUUAAGCGCCCCGCCUGGGGAGUACGGCCGCAAGGCUAAAACUCAAAGGAAUUGACGGGGGCCCGCACAAGCGGCGGAGCAUGUUGCUUAAUUCGAUGCAACGCGAAGAACCUUACCUAGGCUUGACAUGCACGGAAAUCCUCCAGAGAUGGGGGGUCCGUAAGGGCCGUGCACAGGUGGUGCAUGGUUGUCGUCAGCUCGUGUCGUGAGAUGUUGGGUUAAGUCCCGCAACGAGCGCAACCCUCGUUCCAUGUUGCCAGCACGUAAUGGUGGGGACUCAUGGGAGACUGCCGGGGUCAACUCGGAGGAAGGUGGGGAUGACGUCAAAUCAUCAUGCCCCUUAUGUCUAGGGCUGCAAACAUGCUACAAUGGCCGGUACAAAGGGCUGCGAUACCGUGAGGUGGAGCGAAUCCCAAAAAGCCGGUCUCAGUUCGGAUUGGGGUCUGCAACUCGACCCCAUGAAGUUGGAGUCGCUAGUAAUCGCAGAUCAGCAACGCUGCGGUGAAUACGUUCCCGGGCCUUGUACACACCGCCCGUCACGUCACGAAAGUCGGUAACGCCCGAAGCCGGUGGCCCAACCCUUGUGGAGGGAGCCGUACGAU
rnacentral:rRNA from 1 species